UACAGAGGUCUCAAGCGUUGUUCGGAUUCAUUGGGCGUAAAGGGUGCGUAGGCGGCGCGGUAAGUCGGGUGUGAAAUCUCGGAGCUUAACUCCGAAACUGCAUUCGAUACUGUCGUGCUUGAGGACUGGAGAGGAGACUGGAAUUUACGGUGUAGCGGUGAAAUGCGUAGAUAUCGUAAGGAAGACCAGUGGCGAAGGCGGGUCUCUGGGCCGUAACUGACGCUGAGGAGCGAAAGCGUGGGGAGCGAACAGG
rnacentral:rRNA from 1 species